GCUUCAUCUUCUUGAUUCAUAUUUUGCCAUAUUUUAUGAAUUUCCAAUUUUUUUUAGACUUCAUAUAAUUGGCAUUUAAAUGAGACUCCAGAUCUGAAAUUCAACCUCCUUGGACUGAACUGACCUCCGGAGGUUUUCCACAGAUUUGGACAAAUCACUCAGAGGACUCCAGUGGUCAUGAUUAAAUGUUGGCAGAUGUGGGAAUGGAUGCCAGGGCUUAGCAUUUUCAGGAAAUACGAGGCUAUUUUCUAACAUUGCUGCACCUUGUACAGUAGAGUCCUGGCAGUGUCACCAGCACACAUAGCUCAAAGCCAGUAGCAUCACUGCCACCAACAAGGACCUAAAUGAGACUGUACAAUAGUUGUCUUCUUGAACUAUAUUUCACAUGCCAUUUCCUUCAAUUUUGUCCGCCUAUGGGAUUCCCUUGGAUUGCUGAAUAGUUAUUCACAUGUAUACACAUAUCACAUUUUGUUUAUCAGUCCUGGAAAUGAUUCUUAACUAUGACAUGAAAACCAUAGCAACAAAAGGAGGAGAAAGUGAAGCAACGCCAGAGCAAAAAUCCCCUGUGCAGUCAUCAAGCAAGCAAAGGCAAGAACUCUGUCCUCACAAGGCAGGCCCUCUGUACUGGCUAGUUUUGUGUCAACUUGACACAGCUGGAGUUAUCACAGAGAAAGGAGCUUCAGUUGAG
rnacentral:lncRNA from 1 species